rnacentral:lncRNA from 1 species
CACAGUCAGAUGCAGCCUGCAGGUUGCUAUGGUUUGUUCAUCCUGGUUGAUAAUUUAUCUUCUGAGGACUCUUGCAGGGAGACUGGAGGCUUUCUGUCCCAGCAACGCUCUCUCCUCUGGAGAGAAGAGUGAGCACAGGAAACAGGAAUGGGCAGGAAGCACGUGGAAAGCUCUGACUGGAGGUACUGGUGCAGUUCCACAUGAGAGUGAGUGGGCUUGCAUUAAAGCUGGUUGCUGCUGUGGCCCUCUGGGGUCCACCACAGCAGGAGACGAGAUACUUUUGACUACAGGUCUGUCCUGGAACAUGGAUCCCCUCGAUAUCAACGAAGGAUAUAACGGAUCCAGGGAUGAAGGAGAAUUUGAAUCUGAGGCACUAGAAGAAUUUCCACAACUUCCAAGUUGUGGAAGAUACCAGACCUUGAACCAGAAUAAUUCUUAAGAGUUACUACUAAAAAUCCAAGAGUUCUGUGGGAGAUAGAAUGUUCUGAAGCCUGAACAUAGCUCCGCGUGAAACUGAGGUGCACUUUGACUUUACAGAUUUGAGAAUAGUUGUUGCAUAACUAGCUUUUUUUUUCCCCUCCAACUUUCCUUGAAAAUUUAAGUGAACCGUGGCCUCAGGUCAGAUGUUAGCUCCUUCUCCUUGAAAGUGUGAUGGCAGAGAACCAGAAUAGCUGUGAUGACUUGUGCCUUGGAAGCUGAUUUAUAUCUUAUUCUUUUUCAAUAUUUACACAACAGUGAGUUUUUAGAAGGAGCUGUGCCUGCAGGAACACGUACGUUAUUUUUUUUUGUCUUCCUGUUGUUGGCUACUGUGUUUGUACCAGAAGUGUGGACUGAGUUGAUUAUACUAAUUGGCUUGGAAAAAAAAAAAUUCUAGCAAAAGUUAUUUCUAAACCACACAUUGGAAGCAGGAGCGGUG